rnacentral:lncRNA from 15 species
AGCACCUCAUCCCCCCACAGAGCCCUGUAACCAAUGGCAACCUCAGUCCAGACUCUUCCUCUGACCUGUGGCCCUAACAAAAACUUCCGUAACCCUUUCCCAGCCCAGCCCCUCUCCUCCCGUUGCGGCAUGGGAAGUGUAGGCAGUCUGGUGGAGAGGCCAGAUGUGUCUCCGUCUAAAGGCAGCCGCGCUGUGCCCCAGGUGAGACCCAAACAGACCAACGGCCUCCUGAAGAAAGGCUUCACCCAAAGAGAGCUACUCAACUACCUCAAUAUCACCAGAAAAGAGCCUAAAGCAAACCCAAGCAGUGACGGCAAGAAGGACAUUAUCUCUGGCCUCAGCUCUACUGGUGCCCGUGAGGAGGACAACUUAUACGCCAAGGUCUACCACAAAGACGGCACCGAAGUAGAUUUGACAAAGAACUCACUUCCAAGUGGGGGCAAAUAUGAAAAGGUCAUGAUUUGGCUUCUAUCUCAUUUUCUGAAGCUGACAAGAAACAAGUAUGUGUAUUGCAUGGCCUCCUAGAAAUCUAUUACUAUAAGAGUAAAUACAUAACUUGUAGAAUUAAAGAAAUCUUAAAAUUAUUUCAUUUUAAAAUAAAACUAUCCUUUAAAGCAGCAGGUAUGAGAAGAACUGAGUCCCAUUCACCAAUCACAGAUGCAAUAAUGACUUCCCUAUCGAGUUCU